AACGAACGCAGGCGGCAUGCCUAACACAUGCAAGUCGAACGAGACCUUCGGGUCUAGUGGCGCACGGGUGCGUAACGCGUGGGAACCUGCCCUUAGGUUCGGAAUAACUCCCCGAAAGGGGUGCUAAUACCGGAUAAUGUCUUCGGACCAAAGAUUUAUCGCCUUUGGAUGGGCCCGCGUUGGAUUAGCUAGUUGGUAGGGUAAAAGCCUACCAAGGCGACGAUCCAUAGCUGGUCUGAGAGGAUGAUCAGCCACACUGGGACUGAGACACGGCCCAGACUCCUACGGGAGGCAGCAGUGGGGAAUAUUGGACAAUGGGCGAAAGCCUGAUCCAGCAAUGCCGCGUGAGUGAUGAGGGCCUUAGGGUUGUAAAGCUCUUUUAACCGGGAUGAUAAUGACAGUACCGGGAGAAUAAGCUCCGGCUAACUCCGUG
rnacentral:rRNA from 1 species